AUGGUAUCACUAGUCAUGCUUGCGGUGCUCGUGCUGCUGCCGACAACAAUUGCCACGGUGACUACGGCUAGAAGAAACUGUCCCAACACUUGUGGUUCUGAAGUGAUACCUUACCCGUUCGGGCUAGAUCCUUCGUGCUCCUUGCCUGGUUUCAAUCUCACCUGUGCUGUCGACAAGAACACCAACGAGAGUUCUCUCAUGCUGGGGAUGGGCAACUCAAUCCUAAAGUUGUCUCAGGUUUAUGUGGAUGCCAACUUCAACCUCUACGUGAACACCAUUCUCUCGUACUCGACGAAAAUGAUUCCCGGCGUCCGCGACUACUCCAUCCACUGGGAAGCUCCAGCUAGGCCCUUUGCCAUAUCUGGCUCGUCAAACAUGUCCUUGUUCGUUGUCGGCUGCGAUGUCACGGCCUCGCUGUACAUUGGAAACUCGGCCGUUCAGGUCGGGAACUGCACUGUCGUCUGCGCAGAAGCUCAAAUCAUGGAGAAGCUACCUGUGUGGACAUGCGAUGGCAUGGUUGGCAUCGGAUGCUGUUCCAUCGGCAUACAGGUGAACCUAAGGGCGUUCACUCUCAACAUCUCAUGCAUCAUUGAUUCUCCACGCCCCAAACAAGUGCAAGCUUUCAUCGCCUACAAUUGGAACCCAACAUUCAGGCCGAUUGAUGCCUACUCUGGGUUAUUAGAGCGAUACGUUGCUCAACUGGAUUGGUCUAUUCCAUACCAACCAAACUGUAAGCAUGCCAUAGAGGACAAGGACAACUAUGCCUGCGUUAGUGACCACAACAAGUGUCAGGACUCGCCGAUCGGUGGAUACCUCUGCUACUGCCAGUCAGGCAGGGGGAAUGCUUACAUUGAUGGCGGCUGCCCUAAUCCUCCAGCCGCUCCAGAUACCAAUGAGUGCCAUCAGCCAGAUAAAUGCAGGGGUAUCUGCCAGAAUAGUUUCUGAAGCUAUACAUGUACCAGUUGUCCUCAUGGAACAGAUUUCAAUAGCGCCACAGGAAAAUGCAAGCCAACUAUUAUAAUAUUAGGUGUUACUAUUGGACUAACCAGUGGUGCAGGCAUUCUGUUUCUUGCCGCGAUUGUUGCUAUUCUAACUCGGAGAUGGAAGAGAAAUGUUCAGAAACGUUUGAGAAAGAGGCAUUUCCGUAAGAACAGAGGCAUUCUGCUAGAACAGCUGAUCUCUUCCGAUCAAAGUGCCAGUGAUGGCGGCACAAAGAUAUUCUCCCUGGAGGAGCUGCAAAAGGCAACCAAUAAUUUCGAUCACACCCGUGUGGUUGGACGCGGUGGCCAUGGCACUGUCUACAAGGGCAUCCUGACCGACCAGCGAGUGGUGGCCAUCAAGAAAUCAACGCUUGCGGUGAUCAGAGAGAUCGACAAGUUCAUCAGCGAGGUCUCCAUCCUAUCGCAGAUCAACCACCGGAACGUGGUGAAGCUGCAUGGAUGUUGCCUAGAAUCUGAGGUCCCUCUGCUUGUCUACGAGUUCGUCUCCAACGGCACGCUCUACGACCUCCUGCACCGCGAGCAGAACGGUAGCUUGUCGCCGUUGUCCUGGGAGGAGCGCCUGAGGGUCGCCACCGAGAUUGCAGGCGCGCUCACGUACCUGCACUCCGCGGCUUCCGUGUCAGAUCCUACACAGAGACGUCAAGUGCAUGAACGUGCUCCUGACGGACAGCUACACCGCAAAGGUUUCAGACUUCGGCGCGUCGAGGCUGAUCCCGGUCGACCAGACACACCUAGUCACUGCCGUUCAGGGCACGUUUGGGUACCUAGAUCCGGAGUAUUACCACACCGGUCAGCUCAACGAAAAGAGCGAUGUUUAUAGUUUCGGAGUGAUACUCGUUGAGCUGCUGACGAGGAGGAAGCCGAUCAUUCAGAACGAGUAUGGCGAGAAGCAGAACCUGUCCAACUACUUCUUGUGGGCUAUGAGGGAGAGGCCCCUCGAGGAGACAGUGGACGCUCAGAUCCUCGAUGAAGCGAAUGGGGAACGGGUUCUGUGCAUGGCUCGGUUGGCGGAGGAGUGCCUAUGUCUGACACGAGUGCAGAGGCCUACCAUGAAGGAUGUGGAGAUGAGGCUGCAGCUCCUGGCGGGGCGCCGUGUUGUACCAAGGGCGGGGCCGCAUGAAGGGGCACAACCUCGCCGUGAAGCUACGGGAGACGUUGGGCGUGGUUGUGUUGUUCCGGUGA
rnacentral:rRNA from 1 species